rnacentral:lncRNA from 1 species
AAACAUUUAUACUCUUCAGCUGCAUGGGAGCGAGAGCUGCACGGGGGCGAGAGUACCGCCCACACCUUCCAGAGGGAAACAAUAACAACCAUUAUGGGUUACAUCUGCUACCAGCUGAACUUGCCCGUUGGUAUGGACGACAGCACGUCCGUGCCGGCGAGGUGACUCAAGGUUCAAUCAUGGCUAGGCCUACGUCAAGGCUCACCAUGAUGGCUCACCAUAACCUACCGGAACAUCUGCCCAGCAGAUGGAAGAAAUGGAAAGUGAAGAGAGGGAGAUCCGCCCAGCAAGAUCAUUGCCAGAAUGGUGAGAUGAUGAAAGUAUCACUGUGGAGUCAGACAAACCAGUCACAGCUAUGCUACUGUGUCUUCAGAAGUUUAUUACCUGGAAACUGAGCCCGGGCCUCCUCUGGAAAACCUGUCACAAUUUAUGAUCUGAGAGGAGCCAGUUUACCCAAAGGAAGAAGCUCAUCUAUUUACUGCCGUGUUUCCUCGCUUGUCCAAGACAUGCUCACUGGCCUGGGGAAGGGGGUGGCCGCGCAAGGACCAUCAGCCGGUGCAGGCUAGGCCCUGCCUGGCAGAGGUCAUCCACAGUUUCAGGUACCUGUGUCACCUGAACCCUCUGGCAAGCUGAGAGAGUUGAGCUAUGAAAUACAGUAUUUAACUCCACAAGGCCAGCAAAGCAGCAU